rnacentral:rRNA from 1 species
AGUGAACGCUGGCGGUAGGCCUAACACAUGCAAGUCGAACGGCAGCACAGUAGGUUGCUGCUGGUGGGGGUUGCGGGUGGCGGGCGGGAGACAUAUGCACAGGUCCUGACUUUUUGGUGGGCGCUGACGAAGCGGGACUAAUACUGCUAACGAACUACAGAUAAGGGUGAAAGCCGGUGAUGUUUGGCCCUUGCGCGUUUGCCGGUGCCGAAGUAGGAUUAGCUAGUUGGCGGGGUAAAGGCCGACCAAGGCGACGAUCAGUAGCUGGUCUGAGAGGAUGACCAGCCACACUGGAACUGAGACACGGCCCAGACUCCUACGGGAGGCAGCAGUGGGGAAUUUUGGACAAUGGGCGCAAGCCUGAUCCAGCCAUACCGCGUGUGUGAAGAAGGCCUUCGGGUUGUAAAGCCCUUUUGUUGGGAAAGAAAAGCUUGACGUUAAUACCCUGGUGGGCUGACGGUACCGAAAGAAUAAGCACCGGCUAACUUCGUG